UGUGUCAGGAAGCUGCAGCUCCUCUCCUCUGGAUCUUUAUGACCACACCAGGAAGCAUUGUGAUCUGCAGUCACUGCCAACCUGCAGGAUUACAGCUCGUUCCUCUGGGAACUGCCCUGUAGUGUCUGCAUACAGCCACCCUCGACCUGUCUGCCUGGUCUUUGCAACCUCUAGUGGCUGUUGUUCCACAAUGUGUUGUGAAGGCAGGAACCUCCUUGCUUCCCUCUGAAGCUCCCUUCCUAGAAAGGUCAGAGCCGUUCCUUCCCAUUCAUGUGUUGAAAUAAACACAUGAUUCAGUUAUCACCCUUCCUCAAACCCCUCCAGCUUACAUGCUUUGGUUUAGAACUUCUGCCCAGAAGCCUGCCUGGACCAGGGACACCAGACAGGUGCCCACCAUAACUGUCAUCUGAGAGGCUUCACUGAGCAAAUAAUGAAAACAGAUGCAGAGACCCACAGCCAGACAUUAAGUGAAGCUUGGGGAAAUCUGUGGAAGAGGAGGAGGAAGGAUUGAAGGAGCAAGAGAAGUCAAGGACACUAAAAGAAAAUCUACAAAAUCAUCUAACCCUGGACCCUUGGAGGCUCACAGAGACUGAACUGGCCAGCCAGAGCGCAUGCAUGGGAAGGACCUAGGACCCCUGCACAUAGGUAACAGCUGUGCAGCCGGGCCUUCAUAUGGGACUCCUAACGUGGGAGCAGGAGUUGUCUCUAACUCUGUUGCCUGCCUUUCUCCUAACUGGGCUGACUUGUCUAGACACAGUAGAAGAAGAUGCACCUAGACUUACUGCAACUUGAUGUUCCAAGGCUGGUUGUUAUUCAUGGGAGGCCUCCCCUUUGCUGAGGAGAAAGG